GAGGCGUCGCCCAUGUGCUGGUGGCAAACCCUUCCUCAAUCACAACAGCCGCCAGAGCCGCCGCGCCUCUCCUUCCUCCUCGCCGCCCCCUCCCGCGGCGCGCAUCCCUCGGAUCAUCGUGCCCAACUCCCCUUCGUGUUUCUCCUCCUCCCAGAACCACAUCCCAUCGCUUAGGCUCCUUGGUGGCGGCCGGCUCAAGGCGAGCCUGGCGCAGGCGGGGAGAAGCAGCGGGGCGGCGGAUGUGGGUGGGAGAGUGCCGGACGGCGCCGUCAUUAUCGCCCCGCCAAGACGCAUCGAAGAAGGACCAGGAUCUCACCCUCGUCCCUUCUUGAUGCACCUCCCCAGUGAGUUCCUCCUGCCUAAUUCAGCUCCCCUUUCCAUCUAAUUUCAUUCUUGUUUCACAUGUUGGGUUGGUUGGCAAGAGACGUUGCGCCGCCGACUGCAGUAGCCAGGGUUGGCGUUGGUGAUGUCUGUAGUAUUUUCGUCCUCUCCAGUCACACAAUUCCUAGGUUAUGGGACUGGAUCUCCAUUUUCCAAGAUUCUUAGCUGAUAAGUAUAUUGUGCGGAAAAAUCUCUACUGAAUGACAAAUCCAAGCAAUCUGGAUACUCCAUGGGACAAAGUUGAAGCUUUGUACAUCACUUCUCUACCUGUUUAUUAAUGUUUCUUCAUGUUUGGCAGUGAUCUGGGUUUCCAUCGACGAAGAUUUCAUGCUCAACCUCCCUCACGGCCCCAUGUUCGGCUACUUUCCAGUUUUGUUAGUUUUCUUCUUGGUAGCACUGAACACCAUGGAAACAUGGGUGUCGUGGCCACACACAUGCAUUUUGUCGUCCUCCUUAAAAUUCAGUUAGAUUAUAUGCAAACAUGCAGCCGUGUUUACUUAAGAUCCAAUUAGAUGAAUGUUGUUUAUUUUUCCAUAUAGUUUCUAUUUACAAAGGCCUCAUAUGAAAGUUGGGGACAUGCCGUGAACAUAUGGUUUUGUGAUCUAUGGUCUUGAGUCAUAUGUUGGAUGGGUGAUAAUGGAAAUUUCUUGAGGA